rnacentral:lncRNA from 1 species
CCCACUAAACCCACACAGCAUUGAUGAUAUACACAGUUUGAUCCUCCAGGUUAAUUCUGGACACCAUAUUUGGGCCAGGGAAGGAAUAUUGCAGCAGAUUGGCUCGGCCUCAGGAAUGUGGGAAGGUUUUGAUUUCCACUCUGCACUGGCCCCUCAAGAACUUUGGGCACUGCAGUUCCUACAGGCUGGAAGCUGUCUUCCAGGUAUGUAAAUGUGUUCAGUGUCCCCCAAGUCAAUGUUGUUUUCUUGUGCAGCCAUUGCCUAACCAACUUAAAAUUCUCACACAUUGGCUA